rnacentral:lncRNA from 1 species
UGCAGAUAAUGAAGAACCAUAAGACUAAAUUACUUGGGAUGCCUGUGACCAUAAGAAAUCGCGGAGCCACCCAUUAAUAGUAAUAGAACUCUGCGCAAAGUUUUCUCCCGUGAUAUGAGUUACUACCCCUUGAUUACUUAUACUACCCCAAACAUCUGACUUAUACUACCCCAAACAUCUGACUGCAUUUUCCAACUGAAAUGGAAUAUUACUACCAAAAUUGAAUUGUACUUCCAGAAUAGUCCUAAGAACACAUGAUCCCAGGCCGAUACUUAACAUGUACCCCCUCUUCCAGGUCCAUCACAAGGAAAACAAAAACCAAGAUUUGCCUUAUCUGGUAUCAAAUGAGAACUGCGAGCAAAUAGACCUCCUUUCAAGAGUAUCAAUACCGUUACAUGAAUCGUAAAUGCAUGAAUGUGAUGUACCAAGAAAUCGGCGGUUCCUAAUAGAAUAGGCAACAAAGCCACCUUGCCACCCACUGCCACUAAAUCACCACCCCCAAGUUAAACUGGUGCUUGCUGUUGCACCAAGAGUCGUUGCCCUAGGUGCUAAAGCAUGGGUGUUUUGUAUCCAUUGAGCAAAAACGGGUUGUAAUUGUAUAGAGGUAUCUGAAAACAUAUCUUGAGGAUGCCCUAAAGCGCUCAUGGUAUCAUUAUGAAUAUACAAACAAAAACUAUGAAAGCCUAGAAAAAUACAUGCCCAGUUGAGAUGGGAUAUGAUUGCAUCACGAUGCCUAAGGACAUGAUCUAAUAGAUCGUUGUACCGAAUAGUUGGAUCAUAAUCUCUUACCAUAAAAAUGGUUACAUGCGUGGCAGCACCAACUAUAAGAAAUCCACCAAUCCACAUGUGAUAUGUGAACAAUAACAGUUGUGUACCAUAGUCAGCAGCUAAAUAUGGAUAAGGGGGCAUGGAAUACAUAUGAUGAGCUACAACAAUGGUUAAAGAGCCUAACAUAGCUAAGUUAAGAGAUAAUUGAGCAUGCCAUGACGUUGUUAGGAUCUCAUAUAAGCCUUUAUGGCCCUGACCUGUAAAUGGACCUUUAUGGGCUUCUAAAAUAUCUUUUAGUCCAUGACCAAUACCCCAAUUGGUUUUAUACAUGUGACCCGCUACCAGGAAAAAAAUUGCAAUAGCUAAAUAGUAAUGGACAAUAUCAGUCAGCCACAGACCCCCAGUUACUGGAUCUAAUCCUCCACAAAAAGUAAGAAAGUCCGUAUAUUUUGACCAAUUCAAGGUGAAAAAUGGAGCUGCUCCCUCGGCAAAACUGGGAUAAAGUUGAGCCAAAAGAUGUCGAUUCAAGAUAAAUUCAUGAGGAAGUGGUAUCUCUUUAGGAUCUACUCCAGCUUUUAGAAAUUGGUUAGUCGGUAAAGAUACGUGUACUUGAUGCCCCGCCCAAGAAAGAGACCCAAGUCCUAGUAGCCCUGCCAAAUGGUGAUUCAGCAUAGAUUCUACAUCUUGAAACCAAGCCAAUUUUGGCGCCGCUUUAUGAUAAUAAAACCAACCAGCAAAAGCAUUAACGCUGCAAAGACCAAUGCCCCAAUUGUUGUACAAUAGAAUUGUAAUUCACUAGUUAUUCCAGAUACUCACCAAAUCUGAAAAAAACCAAAGGUUAUUUGUAUUUCUCGGAAACCCCCGCCUACGUCACCAUUUAAUAUUUCUUGGCCCACUAUUGGCCAAACCACCUAGGCACUAGGCCCAAUAUGAGUAGGAUCACUUAGCCACGCUUCAUAAUUAGAAAAAUGAGCACCGUGGAAAUACAUGCUGCUCAGCCAAAGAAAGAUGAUGGAGAGUUGACCGAAAUGUGCACUAAAUACUUUUCAAGAGAUCUCCUCCAAAUCACUGGUAUGGCUAUCAAAAUCAUGAGCAUUAGCAUGUAGGUUCCAGAUCCAAGUGGUAGUAUCAGGCCCUUUAGCUAUUGUUCUUGAGAAAUGACCCGAUCUGGCCCUUUCCUCGAAAGAAGUUUUUACGGGAUCCCUAUCUACCAAAAUUUUAACUUCUGGUUCCGGCAAAUGAAUAAUCAUUGAGUCCUCCUCUUUCCGAACAGCACAUACAAAGAGACUCGCCAACAGUCAAAUAAUUAGUGACCCUUAGAGAUAGAGAGAUAUUUCUAUAAUUAGUUCGUUUCUAUUCUAUUUUUAUAUCUUUCAUCUAUCUAUUUUCUUUAGUUAUUUACUAGAGCAAUUAUGAUCUAGAAGUCGAUCUGGGGAAAGUGUUAAGAUCUAUUAUGACAUAGCCUUGAGGCGCUCAACGGACCCUUUAACCAUUUAAAAACCUUUUUGGGCUUUGGAUUGAUCCAAAAAUAACUUUUUUGUGCAACCUAGUGUAUAUUCAUAGAAGUUAUUAGAUGGAGCUCUUUAAUUUUUUACCUAGAAGAUUGUAAUUACUCUAUUCCAAAUCAUGCUAGUAGCCAUUAGACAUUAAUAAGAGACAUCCCCGGUAUAUAUAUAUAUUUAGUGAUUCAAGGGUCUUUUAUUAGUUUUAAUACUAAUAACUAAUAAGAAUU